AAACAAGAACAAAUGCUUUUAGAGUGCAGUUUCUCAUUUGCUGUGGACAUGACCAUAAAGAAAAAUUCCCAUUAGGUUUUCCAUAUGCUCCUUGUCUAGCAGUUAACCUGUUGGGAACAUUU
ensembl:snoRNA LOC120100385 small nucleolar RNA SNORA32